rnacentral:rRNA from 1 species
CCCUUAGAUGUUCUGGGCCGCACGCGCGCUACAAUGAUGAAUUCAACGAGUUUAUAACCUUGGUUGAAAAGCCUGGGUAAUCUUUUGAACUUUCGUCGUGAUGGGGCUAGACCCUUGCAAUUAUUGGUCUCCAACGAGGAAUUCCUAGUAAACGCAAGUCAUCCGCUUGCAUUGAUUACGUCCCUGCCCUUUGUACACACCGCCCGUCGCACCUACCGAUUGAAUGGUCCGGUGAAAUCUUCGGAUUGAGACUUUGAUUUCUUCACGGAAAACGCUGUUUUAAAAAGUUGAUUAAACCUUACCAUUUAGAGGAAGGUGAAGUCGUAACA